rnacentral:misc_RNA from 1 species
AUAUCCUUCAACCUUUCUUGGUUUCUCAACCAAGGAAGGCUUGGACUUUGGGGGUUAUUGCUGGCCUCAGUCGAAGCCAGCUCCUCCUAAAUGGAUUAGUGGGGUCUACUUUGCCGAUCCUUGAUGUGAUAAGAUGUUUUCUACGUCUUGGGUUUCGCACUGUUGCUUUGGACUCUGCUUCUAACCGUCUUACAUUCAAGACAGAGAUUACGAA